rnacentral:rRNA from 1 species
GACGAACGCUGGCGGCGUGCCUAACACAUGCAAGUCGAGCGGUAAGGCCCUUUCGGGGGUACACGAGCGGCGAACGGGUGAGUAACACGUGGGUGACCUGCCCUCAGCUCUGGGAUAAGCCUGGGAAACUGGGUCUAAUACUGGAUAUGACUCCGCGGCGCAUGUUGUGGGGUGGAAAGCCUUGUGCGGCUGGAGAUGGGCCCGCGGCCUAUCAGCUUGUUGGUGGGGNGAUGGCCUACCAAGGCGACGACGGGUAGCCGGCCUGAGAGGGCGACCGGCCACACUGGGACUGAGACACGGCCCAGACUCCUACGGGAGGCAGCAGUGGGGAAUCUUGCGCAAUGGGCGAAAGCCUGACGCAGCGACGCCGCGUGAGGGAUGAC